GGCCCGGCUGGUGGACGGCUCGGUGCUGCCGUGGCUGCUGGUCGUGGCCACGAACGCGGCCCGUGCGGAGCACCGGUCCUGGCGGCGCUGGCACGCC
rnacentral:tRNA from 1 species